rnacentral:rRNA from 1 species
GCCUACGGGGGGCAGCAGUCGAGAAUUUUUCUCAAUGGGGGAAACCCUGAAGGAGCGACGCCGCGUGGAGGAUGAAGGUCUUCGGAUUGUAAACUCCUGUCAUUGGUGAACAAGGCCCUCGGUUAACUGCCGUUGGGUUUGAUAGUAGCCGAAGAGGAAGAGACGGCUAACUCUGUGCCAGCAGCCGCGGUAAUACAGAGGUCUCAAGCGUUGUUCGGAUUCAUUGGGCGUAAAGGGUGCGUAGGUGGCGGGGCAAGUCUGGUGUGAAAUCCCGGGGCUCAACCCCGGAACUGCACUGGAUACUGCCUUGCUAGAGCACUGGAGAGGGAACUGGAAUUUACGGUGUAGCAGUGAAAUGCGUAGAUAUCGUAAGGAAGACCAGUGGCGAAGGCGAGUUCCUGGACAGUUGCUGACACUGAGGCACGAAGGCUAGGGGAGCAAACGGGAUUAGAUACCCGUGUAGUCCA